GAUGAACGCUGGCGGCGUGCUUAACACAUGCAAGUCGAACGGAAAGGCCUCUGCUUGCAGGGGUACUCGAGUGGCGAACGGGUGAGUAACACGUGGGUGAUCUGCCCUGCACUUCGGGAUAAGCCUGGGAAACUGGGUCUAAUACCGGAUAGGACAAUGGUUUGGAUGCUGUUGUGGAAAGUUUUUCGGUGUGGGAUGAGCUCGCGGCCUAUCAGCUUGUUGGUGGGGUAAUGGCCUACCAAGGCGUCGACGGGUAGCCGGCCUGAGAGGGUGUACGGCCACAUUGGGACUGAGAUACGACCCAGACUCCUACGGGAGGCAGCAGUGGGGAAUAUUGCACAAUGGGCGCAAGCCUGAUGCAGCGACGCCGCGUGGGGGAUGACGGCCUUCGGGUUGUAAACUCCUUUCGCUAGGGACGAAGCGUUUUUGUGACGGUACCUGGAGAAGAAGCACCGGCUAACUACGUG
rnacentral:rRNA from 1 species